UACGUAGGGUGCAAGCGUUGUCCGGAAUUAUUGGGCGUAAAGAGCUCGUAGGUGGUUUGUCGCGUUGUCCGUGAAAACUCACAGCUCAACUGUGGGCGUGCGGGCGAUACGGGCAGACUGGAGUACUGCAGGGGAGACUGGAAUUCCUGGUGUAGCGGUGGAAUGCGCAGAUAUCAGGAGGAACACCGGUGGCGAAGGCGGGUCUCCGGGCAGUAACUGACGCUGAGGGAGCGAAAGCGUGGGAGCAACAGGAUUAAGAA
rnacentral:rRNA from 1 species